GGGCAGUAGAGUGGUCAGGCAGGCAGGCUCAGGGUCAGGGUCAGGGGCAUGGUCAGGCAGGCAGGCUCAGGGUCAGGGUCAGGGUCAGGGGCAGUAGAGUGGUCAGGCAGGCAGGCUCAGGGUCAGGGGCAGUAGAGUGGUCAUGCAGGCAGGCUCAGGGUCAGGGGCAGUAGAGUGGUCAGGCAGGCAGGCUCAGGGUCAGGGGCAGUAGAGUGGUCAGGCAGGCAGGCAGGCUCAGGGUCAGGGUCAGGGGCAGUAGAGUGGUCAGGCAGGCAGGCUCAGGGUCAGGGUCAGGGGCAGUAGAGUGGUCAGGCAGGCAGGCUCAGGGUCAGGGUCAGGGGAAGUAGAGUGGUCAGGCAGGCAGGCAGGCAGGCUCAGGGUCAGGGGCAGUAGAGUGGUCAGGCAGGCAGGCAGGCUCAGGGUCAGGGGAAUUAGAGUGGUCAGGCAGGCAGGGUCAGGGUCAGGGGCAGUAGAGUGGUCAGGCAGGCAGGGUCAGGGUCAGGGUCAGUAGAGUGGUCAGGCAGGCAGGGUUAGGGUCAGGGGCAGUAGAGUGGUCAGGCAGGCAGGGUCAGGGGCAUUAGAGUGGUCAGGCAGGCAGGCUCAGGGUCAGGGGCAGUAGAGUGGUCAGGCAAUAAGACAGUUAGAAACAGUAUGGCCUGUAAUAAAGCUGUCCCCUCGUGUGGUCGUUAGAUCAGGUAGUGUUCCUUGGCACAAAUUUGUGUCCCCACAGAUGAGCACAUUUCCCUGGGACAUGAAAUGGCACGUCCCUUCCUCGAGGGUGGGGAAGAUCUCCUCUGAGUAAUAU
ensembl:lncRNA